GUUUCUUUUUCUCCUUCCGUUUCCUCAGCCUUCCGUUUCGUUUUCCACUCGCUUCCAUUUUGUUUCUCAAUUGUUCCGUUCACUUGGAAGUUGGAAUGUCUCCACUCUCCAUAUCUUCACUCUCUUCGCCUCUCUCCCUCUUCUAUUUCUUUGUUUGCGAUGUUGAGGCCAGAGAUUCCUCUCCCCAUUACAUCGCAAGGCCCUCUCUUUAACCCCAGAGUUGUGCCUGUCGUUUUUUCCGCAGCGGCGACGAGGUGAAGACCCUGAGGGCUCCGGCGGCGUGCGAGGUAGGGGAGAUAGGUAGAUGGCGAACUGAGGAAUCUGUUCCGUCCAUUAGGAACUGUGUGUGGUGUGAGAUAGGUAGACUGCGAGAUUCGCACAGCAGGUAUUGUGUCUAAAUCGCAGCCCUUUGCGGCUUCACAAUUCUAAUGUCAAGGAAUUGUUGCUGCAUAUGGAGAAUCAAGGCAAGGAAAGGCAAGGCAGGUUGUUCAUUUGGUUCAAUUGGUGUUUGCCCGUUCGCUCUGGAAAUACUGAGACAGAGAACUGAAAUGUGAUCAUUUUGUCCCCAAAAUUAAGGUCAAUUGAUAGUUGCUCAAUUUUGAUUUAGGCAUGAAUUGAGAGAGUAUAUCCUCUCAUUUCCGCGGUGAAGUUCUGCUCUGGAGAUACUGAAUUUGAGGGAUCCAUUAUUUACUUUGCGUGCAACUCAUUCGUGCAAACCUUUGCCAUCCUCUUCCCCGUUUGAUGUUCAUGUGGUUAUGGAUAUGGAUUUGACAUGUUCUUCAUCCCAAACUCAUUUCAUUUUAUUUAUUCUAUUUCUUUUGGCAAAUUAAACCGAUUCCGCAGGGUACCGUUCUGUCUUCACACUGCGGCAUCUUCUUCCAUUUCCUUUGAAGCUCACCGAUCACGUUCUCUUAUGUUCCCACGCAAAAGAAAGAUCACGAGGAGGUUCUUUUGUGCAGUUUCUUCUAUCACUGCUGCUCACAGACCAUACUGUUGAUUCUUUACCAACAAUUUCACUCCUUACAAUAUCCGUGAUAUUCUAGCAAGUUUUUAACUUUCAGUGUUCUGUUACGUGAGAUGAACCUAUUCACAGUUUCUUAAGUCGAAAAGGUGAGUUUGAACCAGCACUGGCUACUGUCAUGAAAGAAAAGCAAAGGGAUGCUUCUAAGUGCACAAAACCUUACUUCUCAUCAAACCGGACAUGGUAUUUAUCUUCCUGUAGACUUUAUUUGAGAAAAAUGCAUUACCAUGUAUGUGACAGAUUCUUAAGAAAGAGUUAAGCAAAGCACACAGCCUUUGAUUAAGGGAUCUACUGGUCUGGACUACCUCAGGAAUGAUUUUGCUAACAAAUAAGGAUCUUCGUAUGUUGCCAGUACCUCUCUGCCAUCAACAAUCAUGUGGCUUUAAUCUAUUUGGAAUUGCAACAAUCAAGAAUGGGAAGAACAUGUUAAUUUCUCCUCUGCAUUGGCUAACAUUUCAUUCCAAGAAUGACUUCCUUCAACCACUCUCAGAACCUUUAUGCUCAAAACUACCAGCAGUUCAAUAACACUUUCUCCUAUUGGUGUAAAUAUUGAAGGUUCUACGUUUGAUAAGCUAGCUUUGUUACUGUUCAUUUUCAAGAAUUACCAGCAGUCCAAGGGCACUAAGGUGCCUACCACAUUGACAUUUGUGCUGGAUGGAUCAGGAAUUACAAAGGAUUAUUAUGGCCUCAUUUUUUUAUCUCACAGUUUCUAUUUUUGACACCUACCAAAGAACUUACAUUUUGACUGUUUCUAUUUUCUUUUUGAGUUGGGAGUUAGGUCUGUGGUAUCUCACAUCCCUUUUUCAUUACAAAGGAAUUGCAACUGCUGCCGAUUUCAGCUUGGACUAAUAUUAGUUAGUUAGCUUAGGAAGGGAAUAUUCUUUUGUAUCAUUUAUAUUUAUAUAUUUCUAUUUCUAUCCAAUUUUGUAUAUUUCAAUAUCGCCUUCUUCUAAAAGUUGCCCUUCAUUA